AAUGGCCGUUUCUGUUUGUCAGGUAACUUUGAAUUUCAUUUGUGAAAUGAUGACUUUCCCCGCAUUUUCAAAUUGAAUCCUUGCUCUGGAUUAGCUAUCUAUUGUUAAUUGAGCGAGCGCCUCAGCCAUUGUAGAUGAUACAAUAUUGUGAUAAUUUAAGGCAACUAACUGAUCAUGCUUUGGCUGGAUAGAAUGUCCCCUUUGAACUGUAUCACCUUUUGCUGAUGUGGUUUCUCUAGUCUAAUGCAACUUUAACUGAUAUAGAAAUAGUUCCUUCUUAACUUCCUCCCUUUAAUCCUGCUUAGUCGAGGAUGGAGAUUGAAAUCUUCACAUGUUGACUGCAGAUGUAUGAUCGCAUUGCUUUGUUUAAUCUUGUAAAUGGGGAUUUUAACAUAGGAGACAGUCCUAGAUGGAAAGUUUGCACCUUUGUUUAGUUUGAUGAGUUAUAUAUAGAAGUACUUGUAAAAGUGGCAAGCCUUAUUAUACUGCUCCUUAGUAGAAAUAUGAACAAAUUCAUUUGCUGAAAUUAGAUUACUUGUUUUAGUCUUUUAGAUAUCUGCCUCCGGUGCCCAUUGUCGAUCCAAUCUCAUUAUCAUUCAGCACGGUUGAUAAACCCAGAACUUUUAUCACAUAACGUGUUUUUAUCAAAACAAUGGGUGAUGACAUCUUCUUCCCUCACAUCUUCAUUGCUACAAUUAUUGCUCUUCAUCCUUAUAUUUAGUAUUAUAUAUGCAUGGAAUUGGAAAGUUCAUGAUGAAGGCUGAUUAGUCAUCGUGUAAAUUUUUGUAUUAUAAUUGUUACAAUGUUUGGAAGUAGUAACUGAUUACUUUUCCUUGCUUAUUUUUGCCUAGCAAAUUUCUUUUGUAAAAAUGUUGUAGCGUGUUCAUGGGCUUACAGUAGAUUCUUUAAUUUUCUAGUGAAAUAGUUUGACAUGGUUAAGAAUUCAAGGUUAGAAAAGGAGGGUAGUACCAAGUACAAGCAGUGUGAGUAGUUAAAUCAAGAAUUGAAAUGAUUGAUUUUAACACUCAUAGCCAAGGAUACUGAGGAAUUUAUUCUUCUCCAAGAUUAAUAAUUGUGUUCUUCAUGGAGCAAAGAUGGAUGGACUGUGCAUUUAUAACUCAGUUCUGUAUGAUCAUUCUGCCAUUCUGUUUUGAGAAUGAUCUAAAGACCACUUUGGCAGCAUUUAUUUUUUGAUGCUGAGAUACUUGAGAGAAGGGACCAACAUAUGGAAAGAAAAUAAUCCCAUCUCCAAGAUAGGAGGACAAGAUAUGCAGCACAUCAUUUUGAUAGUUUGGAUCCUAUGUGGUUAAAACUCAAAUGGGCUAGUAAAAGAGGUAGAUAAGCUUGGAAGUUGAAGAUACUGGCAUGCUGAAAAUACCAGAGGAAGGUUAGAAAGAAUUUGAUUUGGAUAGUGAAAGAGUUAUGGUGGUCUACGAUUUAAUUGUAGAUAUGGUCCCUGCUAACUGAACUGUAAGAAAUAAGAACCAUUUAAGUUGCUGUCUCCAAAUGGUUGACCAUCACAAAGUUUAGGAAGUCUCCAAGUAGUUUGGCUUUAAGGCUUGGCUUGCGUGAUGAAACUGCUAGUUCUUUUAUAUAUGAUAUGGACAUGAUAGAUAUCAGUUAUUCAUUGCUGUUAGUUGCUUAUGAUUGUGAAUUUUUUAUGAUAUAUGUGCUCAUUAUUUCCUUUUUGAUAGGAGGAGCUUGGAUAUUACUAGUAAUAUCUUCUCUGCAUCUUUACUUGCAUUGUUCAAUUGAGCAAAUUGUCUACAUAUAAAAUCAUGCAGGAAACAAAUUUUACAGAGGAACAGAUUCAGUCAUCAGAUGCUCUUUUAGAGAUGAGCCUGGGGCAUUGGGAGGGAUGCCCCUGUUCAGAAAUUUAUACACCUGAAGUUUUGGGCUUGAUUGAAAGUUCUCAGCCUGAUUUUUGUGCACCAUCUGGAGAAUCAUUAAGGCAAGUGGAAUUUAGGAUGGUCCAGUUCUUAAAUUGGACAAUUCUAGGACUGCCUGAAAAGUUGAGAUCCGAUUUCACAUUGCACCAUCAAAUCAAGAGCCAAGGGUUUUCUCAUGAUCGAGAUCCACCUGCUCUACUGCCACAACAUUGGGAUAUGCUUCAUAGGCAUCGGCCAGGGCUCUCAAGGAAGAAAUCAGGUAGGAGCAGGCUGCAGUAUGUGACUACCACUGGCAAUCAUGAGGGUGAGGAUGAGAUCUCUCCCAGGGGAGCCAAUGACCAAAGCGCACUCCAUAAUUUAAAUGUUAGGAGCUCAACCUCCACAUCCUCAUGUAUUGGUGUUUUCACUCAUUCAAUUCCUAUCAAGUGCCUCCUCACAGGUCUCCUGGGUUGCAGCCCAGUAAUGUUACAUAAGAUCUGCAUAGAAGAUUCUUCAGUGACAGUAUUGCU
rnacentral:misc_RNA from 1 species